rnacentral:rRNA from 1 species
GAAGCGUCUGGAAAGGCGCGCGAUACAGGGUGACAGCCCCGUACACAAAAGCGCAUGUGCUGUGAGCUCGAUGAGUAGGGCGGGACACGUGGUAUCCUGUCUGAAUAUGGGGGGACCAUCCUCCAAGGCUAAAUACUCCUGACUGACCGAUAGUGAACCAGUACCGUGAGGGAAAGGCGAAAAGAACCCCGGCGAGGGGAGUGAAAAAGAACCUGAAACCGUGUACGUACAAGCAGUGGGAGCACAGGUUUACCUGUGUGACUGCGUACCUUUUGUAUAAUGGGUCAGCGACUUAUAUUCUGUAGCAAGGUUAACCGUAUAGGGGAGCCGAAGGGAAACCGAGUCUUAACCGGGCGUUAAGUUGCAGGGUAUAGACCCGAAACCCGGUGAUCUAGCCAUGGGCAGGUUGAAGGUUGGGUAACACUAACUGGAGGACCGAACCGACUAAUGUUGAAAAAUUAGCGGAUGACCUGUGGCUGGGGGUGAAAGGCCAAUCAAACCGGGAGAUAGCUGGUUCUCCCCGAAAGCUAUUUAGGUAGCGCCUCGUGAAUUCAUCUCCGGGGGUAGAGCACUGUUUCGGCUAGGGGGCCAUCCCGGCUUACCAACCCGAUGCAAACUGCGAAUACCGGAGAAUGUUAUCACGGGAGACACACGGCGGGUGCUAACGUCCGUCGUGAAGAGGGAAACAACCCAGACCGCCAGCUAAGGUCCCAAAGUCAUGGUUAAGUGGGAAACGAUGUGGGAAGGCCCAGACAGCCAGGAUGUUGGCUUAGAAGCAGCCAUCAUUUAAAGAAAGCGUAAUAGCUCACUGGUCGAGUCGGCCUGCGCGGAAGAUGUAACGGGGCUAAACCAUGCACCGAAGCUGCGGCAGCGACGCUGAUGCGUUGUUGGGUAGGGGAGCGUUCUGUAAGCCUGCGAAGGUGGCCUGUGAGGGUUGCUGGAGGUAUCAGAAGUGCGAAUGCUGACAUAAGUAACGAUAAAGCGGGUGAAAAGCCCGCUCGCCGGAAGACCAAGGGUUCCUGUCCAACGUUAAUCGGGGCAGGGUGAGUCGACCCCUAAGGCGAGGCCGAAAGGCGUAGUCGAUGGGAAACGGGUUAAUAUUCCCGUACUUGGUGUUACUGCGAAGGGGGGACGGAGAAGGCUAUGUUGGCCGGGCGACGGUUGUCCCGGUUUAAGCGUGUAGGUGUGUGUUCCAGGUAAAUCCGGUUCACUUUAACACUGAGGCGUGACGACGAGGCACUACGGUGCUGAAGCAACAAAUGCCCUGCUUCCAGGAAAAGCCUCUAAGCAUCAGGUAACAUCAAAUCGUACCCCAAACCGACACAGGUGGUCAGGUAGAGAAUACCAAGGCGCUUGAGAGAACUCGGGUGAAGGAACUAGGCAAAAUGGUGCCGUAACUUCGGGAGAAGGCACGCUGACACGUAGGUGAAGUGAUUUACUCAUGGAGCUGAAGUCAGUCGAAGAUACCAGCUGGCUGCAACUGUUUAUUAAAAACACAGCACUGUGCAAACACGAAAGUGGACGUAUACGGUGUGACGCCUGCCCGGUGCCGGAAGGUUAAUUGAUGGGGUCAGCGCAAGCGAAGCUCCUGAUCGAAGCCCCGGUAAACGGCGGCCGUAACUAUAACGGUCCUAAGGUAGCGAAAUUCCUUGUCGGGUAAGUUCCGACCUGCACGAAUGGCGUAAUGAUGGCCAGGCUGUCUCCACCCGAGACUCAGUGAAAUUGAACUCGCUGUGAAGAUGCAGUGUACCCGCGGCAAGACGGAAAGACCCCGUGAACCUUUACUAUAGCUUGACACUGAACAUUGAGCCUUG